UACGAAGGGGGCUAGCGUUGCUCGGAAUCACUGGGCGUAAAGCACACGUAGGCGGAUCUUUAAGUCAGAGGUGAAAUCCCAAGGCUCAACCUUGGAACUGCCUUUGAUACUGGGGAUCUCGAGUCCGGAAGAGGUGAGUGGAACUGCGAGUGUAGAGGUGAAAUUCGUAGAUAUUCGCAAGAACACCAGUGGCGAAGGCGGCUCACUGGUCCGGUACUGACGCUGAGGUGCGAAAGCGUGGGAGCAAACAGG
rnacentral:rRNA from 1 species